ACUCAGUUUCCCUUUCUUCUUCAUCUGUCUUCUCUCUACCCUUUCACAAAUUUCAACCGUUGCAUUGUCAAAUAAGUGGUGUUCCUACGUUCCCGGAGUUGAGAGCUUCCCAUCCAUCCGAUUAGAUUUUCGUUCUUCAGCGGAUGUUGUUGAAGAGAUACUUUUGGAGCAAGUACUGGAGGAUGCUGAUGCUGCUGUGUAGUCUACAUAGGAUUACCCCUCUUAGAACUCAUGUCAUUUUGAAUACGCUAAACUGUUUAAGUUUAAAUUCUGUCUUCAUUUAUGGAUGACGGUAAUCCCAUACUUAAACGCAA